rnacentral:pre_miRNA from 1 species
UAUAUACUCCCUCCGUCCGAAAAUACUUGUCAUCAAAAUGGAUAAAAAGAGAUGUAUCUAGAACUAAAAUAUGUCUACAUACAUCCCCUUUUAUCCAUUUUGAUGACAAGUAUUUCUGGACGGAGGGAGUAUUCG